AGAAUUCUGGCAAAGAGAAUAAGCAGAGCCCACAGACCAAAAAUAAAACGGGGACUACCCGGCAUGUAAAAAAGACAUCGGCUACUCUAAUUGAACGUAGAUGUCCUGCUGCAGUCACUGUUUCCAAGGAACAGAUAUCAGAAUUCACAAGGCGGCUUCUGAAUUUAGAGGCAAGGAUUGGUUUUUUGGAGGCACAUUUCAGUGAGAGAACUCAUCCUCUGACAGCAGAUCAAUCCACAUCCACAGAUCCAUCCGUUGUUCCUUCAAUGUCUGUGGGUACUCAAAUGGACUACCAACAGUCUUUUAAGAUGUGGUCAUCUCCUCAGUCUGCUCACGAAGACCAUUCGCUGUCAGCGCUCCUGGGUAAUGCUGAUUUUGGUGUUCCUUCUGCAGCCUCUACACUAUUAGCUGUCCGGACUCUCAACCUAAAAACCAGUCCAGAUCAUUCGUUAGCGGGCUCAGCAUCUGUAGGAUUAACCAACAACCCAGUGGUGACGAAUUCGAUGCUCCAUAGUGAAAAUUCGCCGAAUCAAGAUUAUUCAGCAUUUUCUCCUCCUUCCGUGACGACAUCAUUCCAUUUGAGUUUGCCUGAAACACCAAGAAACACCUCCCGUUCUCAUCAUAAUCGCCGAUCUCUCAUGCAGGGGGUAAUCCUUCCAGAUGUACUUUUAAAUCAUGUUUCAGUAGAGGCAGAGAAUAAACUGUAUCUGGACUCAACAGGACCAGACGGGAAACCAAGGGCAGAUCGUUUCGCUGUUCUUUUGUUUAAAAGGUUAAUUCCUCUCAACCUUUAUCAGAACUGGGCAGGUUCUGUUAACUUUGACGGCUCCAGGGGGAAAAAUGCACUACCCAACAACCUUCGUCAAGCACUUUCAGAUGCUGUUGGUCGGAGAUUCAACCCCGCAGUUCGUGACUGGAAGCUGAUAAGAGACAGACUUAACGAACUUCUCCGAAAUAGAAGAACAACUUUUCCACUUUUUUAAGAAAAAAGAAAAAAAACUUGCAGAACUCACUGGAGCACUUUUGAUACUUAA